UGAGCAAGCCACACAGGAGUGCCGAG
rnacentral:piRNA from 1 species